rnacentral:rRNA from 1 species
GUCCACGCCGUAACGUUGGGCACUAGGUGUGGGACUCUAUCGACGGGUUCCGUGCCGUAGCUAACGCAUUAAGUGCCCGCCUGGGAGUACGGCCGCAAGGCUAAACUCAAAGGAAUUGACGGGCCCGCACAAGCGGCGGAGCGUGUGGCUCAAUUCGAUGCAACGCGAAGAACCUUACCUGGGCUUGACAUGUACGGUAAAGCGGGUGAAAGCCCGUGUGCUUCGGCGCCGUACACAGGUGGUGCAUGGCUGUCGU